GACGAACGCUGGCGGCGUGCUUAACACAUGCAAGUCGAGCGGUAAGGCCCUUUCGGGGGUACACGAGCGGCGAACGGGUGAGUAACACGUGGGUGACCUGCCCUCAGCUCUGGGAUAAGCCUGGGAAACCGGGUUCUAAUACUGGAUAUGACUCCAUGACGCAUGUUGUGGGGUGGAAAGCCUUGUGCGGCUGAGGAUGGGCCCGCGGCCUAUCAGCUUGUUGGUGGGGUGANGGCCUACCAAGGCGACGACGGGUAGCCGGCCUGAGAGGGCGACCGGCCACACUGGGACUGAGACACGGCCCAGACUCCUACGGGAGGCAGCAGUGGGGAAUCUUGCGCAAUGGGCGAAAGCCUGACGCAGCGACGCCGCGUGAGGGAUGACGGCCUGGU
rnacentral:rRNA from 1 species